GGGGAAGAAAUGUAUCACAUCACAGAAACACACAUAUGUAUAUAUAUAACUGGUACUUGAGACAACAUAAAAAUCACAUGUACUGGAGCUAUCACAGGAACUUACAAACUGGAAUUUUCUGCAGCAAGCAGUACACAGGCUAAUAUGUAUAACAUAGAGACACCACUGAAUCACAAAAGUUUCAGAAAUUGUAAACUAAAUAUUGAACAGUUUUACACAUCUCAAGAACACCGAAAGCACAUUCAACACAAAGAUCACAAGUGAUCUGAAUUAUUAAAGUAAACUAACUGACAUACAGACACGAAUAGUACUGAUACACAACAGAAUAUAUUAGAGAGAGAUUCAGGUGUUCCUGUUCUUGAAACAGAGAGCGGCAAGAGGAGUGCAGUAGCAGUAGGGACAAGGGAGAGGUUCAGAGCAGAGCUUCAGCAAGUGAGGAGCGGCAGGGGACGCUGGAGAAGAAGAGCAGCAGCAAAGGGAUCAAAGAAGAAGCAACAAGCAGCGGAGGGAAGGAAAAGCAGCAGCAGGGAGGCGCAAGGAAGAGCAGCAGCAGAGAUGAGAGGGAAGAGCAGCAGCGUGGUAAGGAGCAGCGAGGUGAAGGAGAAGAAAGAAGAGGAGGUAGCAGCAGCAGGUUCAGGAAAGAAGAAGGGCAGCGGGGAUGCGGGAAGAAGGUUAGGAGAAGAAGAAAGGUUGAGCAGCAGCAGGGAUAUGGAUGGGCGGCGGCGCGAGGUGAUGAGGCGGCGCUGUGGAUGGUGGUGGAUGGAGGCGCAGGGUGAUGGUGGAGGUGUUGGUGGCGCGCUGGGGUGCGGUGGUGCUGGUGAUGGAUGGCGCGGAGGCGCACCACCACGUCGGCCUGGCCAUGGCGGCGGCCGGAGGUGAAGAAGGAGGGGUGAGGGAGAGAGAUGUGAUGCCAGGCCCGACGGGGAAUGGAGGCGAUCUAGGGAUUUUGUUCCCCUGCUCUCAUCUG
rnacentral:rRNA from 1 species